UUGAGGAGAUCUCUAAAGCAGGAAACCCAACCCUUCUGAAUCAGAUCUACACAGAGCUCUACAUCACAGAGGGAGGGACUGGAGAGGUCAGUGAUGAACAUGAGGUCAGACAGAUUGAAACAACAUCCAGGAAACCAGACAGACCAGAAACAACCAUCAGACAAGAAGACAUCUUUAAAGCCUCACCUGGAAGAGAUGAACCAAUCAGAACAGUGAUGACAAAGGGAGUGGCUGGCAUUGGGAAAACAGUCUUAACACAGAAGUUCACUCUGGACUGGGCUGAAGACAAAGCCAACCAGGACAUACACUUCACAUUUCCAAUUCACUUUCAGAGAGCUGAAUGUGCUGAAAGAGAAAAAGUUGAGCUUGGUGGAACUUGUUCAUCACUUCUUUACUGAAACCAAAGAAGCAGGAAUCUGCAGGUUUGAAGAGUUCCAGGUUGUGUUCAUCUUUGACGGUCUGGAUGAGUGUCGACUUCCUCUGGACUUCCACAACACUGAGAUCCUGACUGAUGUUACAGAGUCCACCUCAGUGGACGUGCUGCUGACAAACCUCAUCAGGGGGAAACUGCUUCCCUCUGCUCGCCUCUGGAUAACCACACGACCUGCAGCAGCCAAUCAGAUCCCUCCUGAGUGUGUUGACAUGGUGACAGAGGUCAGAGGUUUCACUGAAUCUCAAAGACUAGACUACUUCAGGAAGAAAUGCAGAGAUGAGAAGCUUGUAAGCAAAAUCAUCCCUCAUAUCCAGACAUCGAGGAGCCUCCAAAUCAUGUCUAAUGUCUUCUGCUGGAUCACUGCUACAGUCCAGAGAGCAGGAAGAUGAUUGAGUCUCUGGGAAAACUGGCUUUUGAUCAGCUGCAGAAAGGAAACCUGAUCUUCUAUGAAUCAGACCUGACAGAGUGUGGCAUCGAUAUCAGAGCAGCCUCAGUGUACUCAGGAGUGUUCACACAGAUCUUUAAAGAGGAGAGAGGACUGUACCAGGACAAGGUGUUCUGCUUCUACCAGAAUUACUUUACUACACAGUAUUUUAUUUUACUACAUGUCAGGUCAUAUCUGUUACAGACAACAAAACAAAGUCACAUGAAAAACUCUGAGAAUGGAACAAAAUAAAAAUGAUAAAUCAGCUGAAGGGCAGAGCUCUGUUUCCAGAGAGGAGACCACCAGCUCUCAGGUGACGCUGUCAGACACACAUGUUCUGUCUGUAUAGACACAGUAACUCAGUUCAAUGAAGGAUCAAAUUAUUAUGGAUUAUAGUUACAAUGAAAAUCCCUGUUAACACGUGUUUUUAUAGGAUACCAGAUGUAUCAUGAGCAGAUUAAUCAGCUGAGUAUUUCCAUCUAACCUGUUCCCAUAGACCACAGAGCACAGAAAACCUGUACAGGAUAUCGAGAAGCUUAGAACAUGUUUAAUAGCUGAUAUCUAGAGCCCUGUUUAAAGUGGAGAAAAUUCUCGAGGAUUUGGACAUUUUGUCCUCUCAUUCCAAAUGUUUUGGAAAAGCUAAAUAUUUAAUAAAGUAGAGGAAGAAAAAAUAAGUUCAGUAUUAGCAGGAACAUUUUUAAGAGCUGAACAUUUUGAUAGUUGAAUAGUUUCUGUAGCUGAAAGUAUGAAGGUAUAGUUAGAGUCAGAAAACAUAGGAGAAGAAAUGAGUGAAAUAAUAAUAAAGAUUUAAAGAUCAAUAGUGUUAAUGCUGAAUCAGCUCUCACAUUAAUAAAGACCACAAUCACUGAUUCUGGUUCACAACAGACUCCUGAUCUGAGUCUGAUGUUUCCUCUAACGCUCACCUUGAUGCUUGCUGCUCUUUCAUUGGUCAGCCUAGCACAAGUGGGUGGUGGUUGGAUAUGUUCAUUACUUCCUCAGUGAGGAGGUAGAUAUUAGUUACUUUAAUUUUGACCAAGUGAAACUAAACAUUAGUCAGAGUAUGUUACAUCCUGUCAGACGUGUCUGGAGGGAACUUUAAGGUCAGCAGAAAUUCAUCUUGGCACAGGUAAAGAAAAAAAGUCACAAACUGUAUUUUAUCACCACCUGGUGAACACGCUCAGUGACUCAAAUCAAACACACCUAUGACAGGUGCAUACUGGGUCUGGUUAACAUCAUGGUGGAUCCUCCAGUGCUGACUUCUCUGUUCACUCAGGAAGUUUAAACUUCACUGAUAGUGAACCUGAGUCAUUAGAUCACCUGAUCCUGGAACAUGGUUCUAGGACAGUCUGUGACCUGGAGCUGCUCCAUGAACAGAGAUUAGUGGGUUAUCUAGUUCUUUUUGGGUCCCUGACCCCCAUCCCUCACCAUCCUUCACCACCCUUCACCAUCCCUCACCAUCCCUCACCAUCCUUCACCAUCCCUGACCCCCAUCCUUCACCAUCCCUCACCAUCCCUCAGCCAUCCAUGACCCCCAUCCCUCACCAUCCUGAACCUGACAGUCUUAUUACAGUUGUAAACAUCUGAUGUUUCAAACUGGACUAAAGUGAAAGUUUAACCUGAAACUAGUUUUUAUUGUAGAGAGUUUACUCUGACAGUGACAAUGUCUGUCUAGCUGUCUGCCUGCCUGUCUGUCUGUGUUCAGUCUGUCAGGUUGUCUGAUCACAGAGGAAGGCUGUUUUUCUCUGGUCUCAGCUCUGAGCUCCAACCCCUCCCAUCUGAGAGAGCUGGACCUAAGCUACAAUCAUCCAGGAGACUCAGGAGUGAAGCUGCUGUCUGCUGGACUGGAGGAUCCACACUGGAGACUGGACACUCUCAGGAUGGACCAUGGUGGUCCUCAGAGACUGAGACCUGGUGUGAGGAAGUACGCCUGUGAACUGGAAGUGGACACAAACACAGUGAACAGAAAACUCAAACUGUCUGACAACAACAGGAAGGUGAGUAUCAGUCAUAUCCUGAUCAUCUAGACAGAUUUGAUGACUGUCCUCAGCUGCUGUGUAGAACUGACUGGUCGCUGUUACUGGGAGGUCGAGUGGAGAGGAGGAGUACAGAGGAAUCAGAAGGAAAGGAGACAAUGUUGACUGUGUGUUUGGAGAAAUGAUCAGUCCUGGAGUCUGAGCUGCUGAGAUGAUGGUUACUCUGUCAGGCACAAUGACAGAGAAACACCCAUCACCUCCUCCUCCUCCUCUGUCUCUAACAGAGUAGCAGUGUAUGUGGACUGUCCUGCUGGCUCUCUGUCCUUCUACAGAGUCUCCUCUGACAAACUGAUCCACCUCCACACCUUCAACACCACAUUCACUGAACCUCUGUAUCCUGGGUUUGCAGUCUGGUCUGGUUCCUCAGUGUCUCUGUGUGAUCUGUAGGUGUGAGAGUCUGUGGACAGAAACACUGACGGACUCCAGGUCAGUUGCUGAAAUUAAAGUUGACUCUGUUCACCAUCACACACACUCUGCACUGUGAAGCAGAUCUGUCUCAGACUCAGACUCUAAACAUCCAUUUGUCUGAUUUCAUCACUUUGAUGAUCAACAUUUGAAGACUUUUGUAAAAUGAUUUUCAUUCAGUUUGAUUCUUAUUUUAGUCUCAGUUCGCUCUGUUGUUACUGUCAGGAUCUAAUCAGCAGCUACGGAGGCCCAGAGGAACCACGUUUAGUUUCCUCCCUCUGCUGGUGAUUUAAUGUUCAGUCUCCACUUUGUCCUUGAGUCCAGAACUCAACUCGACUUAGACUCGAGGUUUAGUGACUCGACAUGUUGUUGAUGUGUUUGUUUGUUUGUAAACUUCUGUUGAAGAUUUGUGUCUGUGAUUUAUUAUUUGUUUAAUUUACACUUUAUUUCUCAUGUUGGUUCCACAGUUAAACUAUGAACUAGAAAAUGAAUUUCCUGGUGAAAAAGCAGUGUGAAUGCUGAAAGCUGAAAGUGAUUGCUGAAGCAAUGCUGAAAACACUGUAAAAAGAGCUAAAUGUAGAAGGAAGCUUAAAUGUCAGUAAAAAGUAAAUUUUAAAAGUUGAAUAAUUUCUGUGGCAGAAAGUUUGCAGGAGUAGUUACAACCAAAGAAGGUCAGAUGAAGAAAAAACUGCUCAGUGUAAAAAUGUUGGAAGCUAAAGUGUAAAGCUGGAGCUGGUGCAUGAGAUGAAGAAGCUGUGGAGAUAAAGUGAUUAAAACUACUCCAAAAGCUGUUUGAAGUGAAAACUGUUGAACUGUGUGUGAAUCCACGUCUUCUAUGUGCUGUGGAGACAGUUUGUAGCAGGAUUUUGACAGAAAAGUAAGUCAAGAGUUUGAUAAACAGCACAGACAUCAGAGAUCAGCUGAUCACAGUCACCUAUUACUACACUCACGGGUUGUUCUGGUGAUUUUGAAUCAGUUUCUACUGAGUGACACUUCUCAAACUGUAACCUAUCAAUGAAACUUUACUUGAAUACUGAUGUGUGAAAAAUGACCACAGUUUAAUCACUGGCCUGGAUUCUAUGGAGCAGUUGAGGUUUCCUCUUUGUGCUCAGAGGCUGCAGUGGUCUGAAGUUGUCUCAGUGUGAGACAGAGCACAGAGAGAUCUACAACCUGAGGUAUGAACUGUGAGUCGAGGCAGAUGGCUGUCCACCCUGAGUCCAGUUCUGCUCGAGGUUUCUGCCUCUUAAAGGAAGUGUUUCCUCUCCACUGUCUCCUAGUGCUGCUCAUGGUGGAUCUGUUGGGUCUCUCUCUGUAAAUACCUAUUUUAAAGAGUACGGUCUAGACCUGCUCUAUAUGAAAAGUGCCUUGAGAUGACUUUUGUUUUGAUUCAGUGCCAUAUAAGUAAAACUGAACUGAAUUAAUUAAAUUGAAUUGAGUUGAACUGAAUUGAAUUUAAUUAAUUGAGUUGAAUUAAACUGAGUGAGAAGUGAGAGAUGACGGAAGGAGGAGAGAAGAAGAAGAAGAGGAGCCCUCCUCCUGUCUCUGCAGGAAGUGACCUUUCACAAUAAGACUUAAAAAAAAACACAAAAAACCUGACGUCAGACCGAUGACGUCAGUGAGGGGCGGUGCUAGCUCCUGCCAAUCUCACCAUGACGUCACACAGCAGGAGCGUUUCCGGUGCAGGAAGGCGGGGCCUCCGUGUUCCUCAGGGAGAGACAGGUGAGUCACAUCGGCACAGAGCAGCAGGUACGAACUUCCGGGAGCGGGAUAUCAUCCUUCAAAGUAAAAGCAGGGACAGAACCAUAAACACUUUUAUGACUUUUGAUAAUUAUUGUUGUACACUGAUGACGUGAAAACAGUUGAUGUUGAUGUUAACAGUUGAUGAUUAACUGAUCA